rnacentral:rRNA from 1 species
UACGUAGGGUGCAAGCGUUGUCCGGAAUUAUUGGGCGUAAAGAGCUCGUAGGUGGCUUGUCACGUCGGGUGUGAAAUCCCGUGGCUCAACUGCGGGUCUGCAGCCGAUACGGGCAGGCUAGAGUUCGGUAGGGGAGACUGGAAUUCCUGGUGUAGCGGUGAAAUGCGCAGAUAUCAGGAGGAACACCGGUGGCGAAGGCGGGUCUCUGGGCCGAUACUGACGCUGAGGAGCGAAAGCGUGGGGAGCGAACAGG